GGGGGGGAGGGGCGGCGAGGCGAGGCCUGCGGAGCGGAGGAAGACAAACAUAAAGAUGAAGUGCUUAAUUCAAGGUCACACAAUGUCGGGGAUGGACCUCCAGAUUUCCUUACUGGAAAACAAGCUCAGGGCUCCCACUGAUUGUACAUUAUGAGACGGAGUCUUGCUAUGUUGCCCAGGCUGGUCUUGAACUCCUCACCUCAAGCGAUCCUCCCGUCUUGGCCUCCCAAGUGUCAGGAUUACGGGCAUGUGCUAUCACACCCAACCUGAUACAUUGCCUUUAUAAAUUUUUUUUUCUUUAUUCUAAAAACCAGAAAAAACAAAACUGGAUACAUGUGCAGAACAUGCAGGUGAGACGUGGUCUUGUAACACAGUGGUUAAGAAUGUGACUUUGGAGCCAGCCUGCUAGGGGCUGAAUUCUGACUCAGCCAUUUACUAACUGUGUGACCUUAGGCUGGAGUGCAAUGGCAUGAUCUCGGCUCAUCACAACCUCUGCUUCCUGGGUUCAAGCGAUUCUCCUGCCUCAGCCUCCCGAGUACCUGGGACUACAGGCACUCGCCACCAUGCCCGGCUGAUUUUUGUAUUUUUAAUAGAGAUGGUUUCACUAUGUUGGCCAGGCUGGUCUCGAACUCCUGACCUUGUGAUCUGCCCACCUCAGCCUCGAAAAGUGCUGGGAUUACAGGCGUGAGCCACUGCGCCCAGCCUUGUAUUUUUUUUCAGUUUGGGUAGCUGUCCCUAAUUCAUUUGUUAAAGGAGAAGCAAGAGCAAGAACCUUUAAUCUGUUCUCCUCUUCCCUAAUUUGAAAGUAGCUUGUUAUUUUGAAUAUCACUUUCUCUGAAAUAGCACAUCUCCAUCUCAGAGAAUGGAUUUAAUGUUUGGAUACAGCCAAAAGUCAUUUCAUUACCAAACCAUGGGGUGAAUAUACCAUGUAAAGCAGUUUGGGAUCAGAACUCACAGUCUGAAUUGUAAGUGAUGAGACUGCUGUCUCUCUGCUACAGCUUCUUGGCUGGCUCUGAAGGCUCUUUGAAGGCAGAUCCUAACAAGGGGACUGCUUUGAAGGGCCAUUGUUCAUUUGGAAUGAUAAAGUCUAUGUUGUUCAAAAAACAAAUGCUUGUAGCAGGUAUUUUUUCACUCCAGACUGAGAAUAUUGGUGGGAUAUUGAUAAGGGGUACUGAAUGGUAAUAAACAUGUGCUCUAGCUCUGUGCUAGUCAGCUUAUUUCAGAACUCUAGUUUGAUUCAGUUUCUUGCCUCUGACUCAAAAUGGAGGGAGAGUGAUUUUUACAUAAGAGAACACACCCACAUAUCCUUUUGGCAGCAGCUACCUGCCAGAGAUGUUGAAGAAGAGUAGCCAACCUUUACACAGCAGAUAUUGUGUGCCAGUCAUAGUCCUAAGUAUAAUACCUUACAUGUAUAAACUUCUUAUAAGGUUGGUGCUCUGUACCGAAUUGAAUAGUAUCCCCCAAAAUUCAUGUUGUCCCAGAACCUAUGAAAGUGAUC
rnacentral:lncRNA from 1 species